rnacentral:rRNA from 1 species
CUAUCUACAGGCUUAACACAUGCAAGUCGAGGGGCAUCAGGAAGAAAGCUUGCUUUCUUUGCUGGCGACCGGCGCACGGGUGAGUAACACGUAUCCAACCUGCCCUUUACUCGGGGAUAGCCUUUCGAAAGAAAGAUUAAUACCCGAUGGCAUAAUGAUUCCGCAUGGUUUCAUUAUUAAAGGAUUCCGGUAAAGGAUGGGGAUGCGUUCCAUUAGGUUGUUGGUGAGGUAACGGCUCACCAAGCCUUCGAUGGAUAGGGGUUCUGAGAGGAAGGUCCCCCACAUUGGAACUGAGACACGGUCCAAACUCCUACGGGAGGCAGCAGUGAGGAAUAUUGGUCAAUGGGCGCUAGCCUGAACCAGCCAAGUAGCGUGAAGGAUGAAGGCUCUAUGGGUCGUAAACUUCUUUUAUAUAAGAAUAAAGUGCAGUAUGUAUACUGUUUUGUAUGUAUUAUAUGAAUAAGGAUCGGCUAACUCCGUGCCAGCAGCCGCGGUAAUACGGAGGAUCCGAGCGUUAUCCGGAUUUAUUGGGUUUAAAGGGAGCGUAGGUGGACUGGUAAGUCAGUUGUGAAAGUUUGCGGCUCAACCGUAAAAUUGCAGUUGAUACUGUCAGUCUUGAGUACAGUAGAGGUGGGCGGAAUUCGUGGUGUAGCGGUGAAAUGCUUAGAUAUCACGAAGAACUCCGAUUGCGAAGGCAGCUCACUGGACUGCAACUGACACUGAUGCUCGAAAGUGUGGGUAUCAAACAGGAUUAGAUACCCUGGUAGUCCACACAGUAAACGAUGAAUACUCGCUGUUUGCGAUAUACAGUAAGCGGCCAAGCGAAAGCAUUAAGUAUUCCACCUGGGGAGUACGCCGGCAACGGUGAAACUCAAAGGAAUUGACGGGGGCCCGCACAAGCGGAGGAACAUGUGGUUUAAUUCGAUGAUACGCGAGGAACCUUACCCGGGCUUAAAUUGCAGUGGAAUGAUGUGGAAACAUGUCAGUGAGCAAUCACCGCUGUGAAGGUGCUGCAUGGUUGUCGUCAGCUCGUGCCGUGAGGUGUCGGCUUAAGUGCCAUAACGAGCGCAACCCUUAUCUUUAGUUACUAACAGGUUAUGCUGAGGACUCUAGAGAGACUGCCGUCGUAAGAUGUGAGGAAGGUGGGGAUGACGUCAAAUCAGCACGGCCCUUACGUCCGGGGCUACACACGUGUUACAAUGGGGGGUACAGAAGGCAGCUAGCGGGUGACCGUAUGCUAAUCCCAAAAGCCUCUCUCAGUUCGGAUCGAAGUCUGCAACCCGACUUCGUGAAGCUGGAUUCGCUAGUAAUCGCGCAUCAGCCACGGCGCGGUGAAGACGUUCCCGGGCCUUGUACACACCGCCCGUCAAGCCAUGGGAGCCGGGGGUACCUGAAGUACGUAACCGCAAGGAUCGUCCUAGGGUAAAACUGGUGACUGGGGC